rnacentral:rRNA from 1 species
UGGGGAAUAUUGCACAAUGGGCGAAAGCCUGAUGCAGCAACGCCGCGUGAGUGAUGAAGGUCUUCGGAUCGUAAAGCUCUGUCUUUUGGGACGAUAAUGACGGUACCAAAGGAGGAAGCCACGGCUAACUACGUGCCAGCAGCCGCGGUAAUACGUAGGUGGCGAGCGUUGUCCGGAUUUACUGGGCGUAAAGGGUGCGUAGGCGGAUGUUUAAGUGAGAUGUGAAAUACCCGGGCUUAACUUGGGUGCUGCAUUUCAAACUGGAUAUCUAGAGUGCAGGAGAGGAGAAUGGAAUUCCUAGUGUAGCGGUGAAAUGCGUAGAGAUUAGGAAGAACACCAGUGGCGAAGGCGAUUCUCUGGACUGUAACUGACGCUGAGGCACGAAAGCGUGGGUAGCAAACAGGAUUAGAUACCCUGGUAGUCCACGCCGUAAACGAUGAGUACUAGGUGUAGGAGGUAUCGACCCCUUCUGUGCCGCAGUAAAC